rnacentral:rRNA from 1 species
GAGCGGCAGCGCGGGGGCAACCCUGGCGGCGAGCGGCGGACGGGUGAGUAAUGCAUCGGAACGUGUCCUCUUGUGGGGGAUAACCAGUCGAAAGACUGGCUAAUACCGCAUGAGCUCGUGAGAGGAAAGCAGGGGACCCGCAAGGGCCUUGCGCGAGAGGAGCGGCCGAUGCCCGAUUAGCUAGUUGGUGGGGUAAAAGCCUACCAAGGCGACGAUCGGUAGCUGGUCUGAGAGGACGACCAGCCACACUGGGACUGAGACACGGCCCAGACUCCUACGGGAGGCAGCAGUGGGGAAUUUUGGACAAUGGGGGAAACCCUGAUCCAGCCAUGCCGCGUGUGUGAAGAAGGCCUUCGGGUUGUAAAGCACUUUCGGACGGAACGAAAUCGGCGAGGUGAAUAUCCUCGCUGGAUGACGGUACCGUAAGAAGAAGCACCGGCUAACUACGUGCCAGCAGCCGCGGUAAUACGUAGGGUGCGAGCGUUAAUCGGAAUUACUGGGCGUAAAGUGUGCGCGGGCGGCGUUGCAAGUCGAGUGUGAAAGCCCCGGGCUUAACUUGGGAAUUGCGCUCGAAACUACGAUGCUGGAGUGUGGCAGAGGAAGGUGGAAUUCCACGUGUAGCGGUGAAAUGCGUAGAGAUGUGGAGGAACACCGAUGGCGAAGGCAGCCUUCUGGGCCAACACUGACGCUCAUGCACGAAAGCGUG